CGUUUUUAUGUUGGGCCGGCGCUUCUUACGUGCAGUGUACGGUAAAGGAAGCAGCUUGCUGCUUUGCUGACGAGUGGCGGACGGGUGAGUAAUGUCUGGGAAACUGCCUGAUGGAGGGGGAUAACUACUGGAAACGGUAGCUAAUACCGCAUAACGUCGCAAGACCAAAGAGGGGGACCUUCGGGCCUCUUGCCAUCGGAUGUGCCCAGAUGGGAUUAGCUAGUAGGUGGGGUAACGGCUCACCUAGGCGACGAUCCCUAGCUGGUCUGAGAGGAUGACCAGCCACACUGGAACUGAGACACGGUCCAGACUCCUACGGGAGGCAGCAGUGGGGAAUAUUGCACAAUGGGCGCAAGCCUGAUGCAGCCAUGCCGCGUGUAUGAAGAAGGCCUUCGGGUUGUAAAGUACUUUCAGCGGGGAGGAAGGGAGUAAAGUUAAUACCUUUGCUCAUUGACGUUACCCGCAGAAGAAGCACCGGCUAACUCCGUGCCAGCAGCCGCGGUAAUACGGAGGGUGCAAGCGUUAAUCGGAAUUACUGGGCGUAAAGCGCACGCAGGCGGUUUGUUAAGUCAGAUGUGAAAUCCCCGGGCUCAACCUGGGAACUGCAUCUGAUACUGGCAAGCUUGAGUCUCGUAGAGGGGGGUAGAAUUCCAGGUGUAGCGGUGAAAUGCGUAGAGAUCUGGAGGAAUACCGGUGGCGAAGGCGGCCCCCUGGACGAAGACUGACGCUCAGGUGCGAAAGCGUGGGGAGCAUACAGGAUUAGAUACCCUGGUAGUCCACGCCGUAAACGAUGUCGACUUGGUGGUUGUGCCCUUGAGGCGUGGCUUCCGGAGCUAACGCGUUAAGUCGACCGCCUGGGGUGUACGGCCGCAAGGUUAAAACUCUAAUGUAUUGACGGGGGCCCGCACAAGCGGUGGUGCAUGUGGUUUAAUUCGAUGCAACGCGUAGUACCUUACCUGGUCUUGACAUCCACAGAACUUUCCAGAGAUGGAUUAGGUGCCUUCGGGAACUGUGAGACAGGUGCUGCAUGGCUGUCGUCAGCUCGUGUGUGAAUGUUGGGUUAAGUCCCGCUACGAGCGCAACCUUAUCCUUUGGUUGGCAGCCGUCUCGGUACUCAUAGGUGUGACCUGCAAGUGAUGAACUUGGGUAGGAUAGCCUGAGA
rnacentral:rRNA from 1 species